CUUCUUGCUGCGGCAGAACAUAGAUCAAAAUUGGAACGAUAAAAAGUAGAUUAGCAUGGCCCUGCGCACCGAAGGCACGCAAAAUCGUGCACAGUUCCACAAUUCU